GAUGAACGCUGGCGGCGUGCCUAAUACAUGCAAGUCGAGCGAACGGACGAGAAGCUUGCUUCUCUGAUGUUAGCGGCGGACGGGUGAGUAACACGUGGAUAACCUACCUAUAAGACUGGGAUAACUUCGGGAAACCGGAGCUAAUACCGGAUAAUAUUUUGAACCGCAUGGUUCAAAAGUGAAAGACGGUCUUGCUGUCACUUAUAGAUGGAUCCGCGCUGCAUUAGCUAGUUGGUAAGGUAACGGCUUACCAAGGCAACGAUGCAUAGCCGACCUGAGAGGGUGAUCGGCCACACUGGAACUGAGACACGGUCCAGACUCCUACGGGAGGCAGCAGUAGGGAAUCUUCCGCAAUGGGCGAAAGCCUGACGGAGCAACGCCGCGUGAGUGAUGAAGGUCUUCGGAUCGUAAAACUCUGUUAUUAGGGAAGAACAUAUGUGUAAGUAACUGUGCACAUCUUGACGGUACCUAAUCAGAAAGCCACGGCUAACUACGUGCCAGCAGCCGCGGUAAUACGUAGGUGGCAAGCGUUAUCCGGAAUUAUUGGGCGUAAAGCGCGCGUAGGCGGUUUUUUAAGUCUGAUGUGAAAGCCCACGGCUCAACCGUGGAGGGUCAUUGGAAACUGGAAAACUUGAGUGCAGAAGAGGAAAGUGGAAUUCCAUGUGUAGCGGUGAAAUGCGCAGAGAUAUGGAGGAACACCAGUGGCGAAGGCGACUUUCUGGUCUGUAACUAACGCUGAUGUGCGAAAGCGUGGGGAUCAAACAGGAUUAGAUACCCUGGUAGUCCACGCCGUAAACGAUGAGUGCUAAGUGUUAGGGGGUUUCCGCCCCUUAGUGCUGCAGCUAACGCAUUAAGCACUCCGCCUGGGGAGUACGACCGCAAGGUUGAAACUCAAAGGAAUUGACGGGGACCCGCACAAGCGGUGGAGCAUGUGGUUUAAUUCGAAGCAACGCGAAGAACCUUACCAAAUCUUGACAUCCUUUGACAACUCUAGAGAUAGAGCCUUCCCCUUCGGGGGACAAAGUGACAGGUGGUGCAUGGUUGUCGUCAGCUCGUGUCGUGAGAUGUUGGGUUAAGUCCCGCAACGAGCGCAACCCUUAAGCUUAGUUGCCAUCAUUAAGUUGGGCACUCUAAGUUGACUGCCGGUGACAAACCGGAGGAAGGUGGGGAUGACGUCAAAUCAUCAUGCCCCUUAUGAUUUGGGCUACACACGUGCUACAAUGGACAAUACAAAGGGCAGCGAAACCGCGAGGUCAAGCAAAUCCCAUAAAGUUGUUCUCAGUUCGGAUUGUAGUCUGCAACUCGACUACAUGAAGCUGGAAUCGCUAGUAAUCGUAGAUCAGCAUGCUACGGUGAAUACGUUCCCGGGUCU
rnacentral:rRNA from 1 species